AUUGAACGCUGGCGGCAGGCCUAACACAUGCAAGUCGAACGGUAACAGGAAACAGCUUGCUGUUUCGCUGACGAGUGGCGGACGGGUGAGUAAUGUCUGGGAAACUGCCUGAUGGAGGGGGAUAACUACUGGAAACGGUAGCUAAUACCGCAUAACGUCGCAAGACCAAAGAGGGGGACCUUCGGGCCUCUUGCCAUCGGAUGUGCCCAGAUGGGAUUAGCUAGUAGGUGGGGUAACCGCUCACCUAGGCGACGGUCCCUAGCUGGUCUGAGGGGAUGACCAGCCGCACUGGAACUGAGACACGGUCCAGACUCCUACGGGAGGCAGCAGUGGGGAAUAUUGCACAAUGGGCGCAAGCCUGAUGCAGCCAUGUCGCGUGUAUGAAGAAGGCCUUCGGGUUGUAAAGUACUUUCAGCGGGGAGGAAGGGAGUAAAGUUAAUACCUUUGCUCAUUGACGUUACCCGCAGAAGAAGCACCGGCUAACUCCGUGCCAGCCGCCGCCGUAA
rnacentral:rRNA from 1 species